GGGCCUAUGGUUCAACGGCAGAACAUGGCAUUCGCAUUGCCAAGAUCCGAGUUCAAUUCUCGGUAGGUCCACAA
rnacentral:tRNA from 5 species